GGCAAAAAAAGAGUGUGCUUGUUCUUCACUCUCCCUCCUACUCCCUGUUUCAUUUCCACACAUGCAGCCACCCACCGGGACCGGAGGCGGCUGGUGUUCUCUGAACACCGGGAACUGGCUCUCUCCGUGGUCUCUUGUUUACUUCCCUCCUCCUCUCUCUUCCUCCUCUCGCCCAUCACCGGGCCUGCCUCCCUCCUGCCUGGAGCAGCUGGGAAACCUGCGGCGAAACACUGCAGUCAUGGGACUUCCCUGUGCCCAUGUGGCCCUAGUUUGCCCUGUCCUGCCCUGCGACCGCUUGGGGCGCGUCUUCGGAAGGACGGCCCUUGAGGCUCCUAAGCCAGCGGCUCUCUCCUUGGCUGUUGUCUCUUCUACCCUCAUCUGCUCUGCUCCCCCAUACCUCCCUGCGAAGGCAGGGCCUGGCAGCCUUUUUGGCCAGGCUUCUGGGCCACCCCCAUGAGCGGCCACCUGUCUGGAAAGAGGUGGUGUGACAGCUGACAGAUCCUAAGAACUCUACACCCAGGGAGCAAGAGAGCUGGCUUCUUCGCCACCACAGACUGUCCUGUUUAUGCCGGCUGCCCCAACUUUCCCUACUGGCCCCCGAAAACCUAUUCCCAGGGACACACCUCGAAAGAGGCAAACCCUUCCCUUUCAGGCUUGCUUCCCGGCAGGGAGGAAUUCAGCUUUUCCUUACAGUUAAGCUGAAUGAACAAAGGGCCCCAAAGAGGACAAGAGGUUCCAGCUCUGUGUGCUGCCUGCCUGAGGUUCACCCCAUUUUAAAAACCACCUCUUCACCACCCUCUGCUCACUGCCAUGGUUACCACAGCCCUGUCCUUGAGCGGCACUGGUUGUGUAAAGGCGGCGGCGAACAAGGGCAUUUUAUAUGUUCUUUUAAAUAUCCAAAACACUGGCUUGGUAUUUGGGAAGCAGAGAAACGGAAAUAAAAGGUCUGGCUGAUGCCUGUUUCCUUCUGACUUCAGGACCCUGAAUAAAUCCUUUACCCUGGAUGCCCCUUCGCUCCAGAGGGGAUGAGGUUUACUGCGCCUCCAGGGUGGAACUGAGAACGUGUAGUCAGCAGCGGGCGUCGGUCCCUAAAUUAGUCGGCCUCUCCCCACAGCCUGCAGCUUUAGACCUUGUCCCCAGGCUAUGCUCACCCCGCCUCGCGCCUUCCUGCUGACUGGUUCUCCUUCACGCUCCAAGAGUCCCACACGUUUGACUCACAACUCUCCACCCCCACCCCACCACUGUUAACACUGCUAAGGAAUUUAGCGAUCAGACACCCUCCUUGUUCCACACUCUGAGCCAAAAGCCCUGCUGUUUACUUCAAGGAGGAAAUGAAGGCAAUUUGACAAAAGGCUUCACCUUCUGCCUACUGCACCCUCCAUGCUCUGGAUCUUUCUGUUCAGGUGCUGCCUACACUUCUGUUCCUUGGAUACCCAUCCUAUACCUCACAUGCAGCACCAGGAUGCCUCCCCAGGAUACUUCCCAGUUGUCUACUGCUACAGUCAUCUCCUGGGAGUCUUGGAACACAUCCCUAGAAGAUAAGGGAGAAGCAGUAUAGUAAGACAUACGUUGACAGAUGUAAAAACCUCAGUGCAACUUAAGCAGGAUUAAUACAAAGAAAAUAAUAAGUAGGCAUAUCACAGCCCAGCUCUGGCAAUGCGAAGAUAAAGGGAGACUUUUAAAGCUGUCAGAGGGGUAGUCAUGCGGUAACCACAGGAACAGAAUCUGAGCAGCACAGAUUUCCCAUCAGAAGGAACAAUGGCAUCUUACAGGACUGAAAGAAAAACUUCCUGCCAGCCAGAUUUCUGUGUCUACUGGAAAUACUCAUCAGAGAUAAAGGGUCUCUUCUGUGUUUUUCCUGCUGCUGCUGUUGCCACUGCUGAUUCAGACAGACAGACAGAUGGAGCAGCUUCAGACUGACAGAGGGACCCGAAUUAACUUGAAAUAAAGACUCUGCUUUUACAUCUGGUUGGACCUCAGACGUGUUCUCACACAGCUGAAGGAAUGGAAGAGCAAAACAAUGCUGAGUCUACUUCCUCCUUCCCUCGAGCCCUCUGUCUUGCUGUGUGGCUUAGGUUGGCCUGGAGCUCACUACUUGGUCGAGUUGUCCUUCAGGUCAAGAGUUUCUUACUUUGGCCUCCUGCAUGCUGGAAUCAUAGGCCAAGCCAGUUCUUUAUUCAUCAACCAAUAAAAGCAACACAUAGACAGAAGGACCUCCCACACCAAACAGAGAAUGAAGAAACAAUGGGCAAACAGAAAAGGUGGGAUCAAGUGGACUGUGGGCUCUGGUGGAGAUACACCAGCAGCAGCCUGGAGACAGCCGGUUCACUGUGUACAGCAUGAGCAAGGAGGACGCAGGUUCUAAUCUCUGUAUGAGGUUUCUGUAGGGCAGCAUUCCCAGGUUGCUAUCAUCCAGGAGGAGAAAGCUGUGGCUAGCAGUUUCUGCAUACACUUGUUUGUUUUAGCUAAAGGUUCAUAAAUAUCUGUAUUGGGACCAGAGGAAAGCUUUGCCAUUACUCUGAGCCUGACCCGGGGAGGGCUUUGCUGUUCUUGGAGAUAUUGAGGCAUUGGGUUUCUUGACAUGAUUGUGUUCAUGUCAGCUAUACACAUCACUUAGGACUUCAUCUGUUCUCCACAGGUCAUGAUUUAUUAUCCUUUUAAUGUAUUUAUUGAGUCUAUCAACUCUUUAUUAAUUAAUUUUAUAUUUUGUUCAUAAGAGAUAUUGGUCUGUAAUUUUCUUCUAUCCUUACCACAUAUUGCCUUGAAAGACCACCUAAUUCGUAUACUAAACUCCCAUUUCUGGAUUUCAUGUUGCAGUUUGUCUCAUUGGCAUCUGUCUUCCCUGGGAUCUCUCAGCAGCUUCACUGUUAGACAUUAGGAGUUAGACAUUAGGACUGUUUCCUGCCUCUGCUAUUCCAACAAGGCGCAGGAGACAAACUGCAAACUGUGGUAUCAAUUUUGUAAUGUCUUUUCCUACUCCACAGUCAUACCCAUAGGAAGCAUCCUUCCAAGUUGAAUAGCUAGGUCAGUGGGGAAACAUAAUUUUAAGGACCUAGCCAUUUUAUCAGCCAAUGUCUCAUCAGGAAAUUAGAAAUGGUACUAAUUGUUUUAACCAGGGGACUUAAUUUAAGGAAUAAUUGCUAUUGUUAGAAGAGCUGAAGGAGCAAAAUUAGAAGGUAAAAUAAGCCUGAGGGCAGUGACUUCAGGAAAUUACUAUUAACCCUACGACUAUAGGAAUAGGGAGGAGCUGGUUUUACUAGGGCCCUGAAAGCACUCAUUGCUGCCCCUGAUGAAGACAGUGCCUGCUGCUGGAACCAGUGGCAAUGUACACUCCAUGGUGGCACACUGCAUAAGGACCUUACUAUCAACAAUGGACUGCACAUAUGCCAGGGUCCCAGAAAUUAUAGUGAAGAUGAAAAGCCCUUUAUGCUUGGUGCCUCUCCAAGCAUAAUAACAUCAUCACAAGACAAGGCAUUUCUCUUUGUGGUGAUUCUGAUGUAAGCACACAUAUUGGGUGUCCAGUGCUAUAAAAGAAGAGCAUGCACCAUUAUUCAUGCCAUGUACUGCUUGAUCGUGAUAGCAAAUAAAGAUCCUGGUGGUUUUAUGUAUUCA